rnacentral:rRNA from 1 species
UUGACCUCAAAUCAGGUAGGACUACCCGCUGAACUUAAGCAUAUCAAUAAGCGGAGGAAAAGAAACUAACAAGGAUUCCCCUAGUAACUGCGAGUGAAGCGGGAAGAGCUCAAAUUUAAAAUCUGGCGGUUCUUGACCGUCCGAGUUGUAAUCUAGAGAAGUGUUACCCGUGCUGGACCGUGUACAAGUCUCCUGGAAUGGAGCAUCAUAGAGGGUGAGAAUCCCGUCUUUGACAUGGACUGCCUGCACGUCUUGGUGCGCUCUCGAAGAGUCGAGUUGUUUGGGAAUGCAGCUCAAAAUGGGUGGUAAAUGCCAUCUAAAGCUAAAUAUUGGCGAGAGACCGAUAGCGAACAAGUACCGUGAGGGAAAGAUGAAAAGAACUUUGGAAAGAGAGUUAAACAGUACGUGAAAUUGCUGAAAGGGAAACGCUUGAAGUCAGUCGCGUUGGCUAGAAAUCAGCCUUGCUUUUGCUUGGUGUACUUUCUUGUUGACGGGUCAGCAUCAGUUUCGAUCGCUGGAUAAGGAUUUUGGGAAUGUGGCAUCCUUGGAUGUGUUAUAGCCCAUUGUCGCAUGCAGUGGUGGGGAUUGAGGAACUCAGCACGCCGCAAGGCCGGGUCUCUGACCACGCUCGUGCUUAGGAUGCUGGCAUAAUGGCUUUAAUCGACCCGUC